rnacentral:rRNA from 1 species
AAUGCCCCAGUAACGGCCAGUGAAGCGGCAAGAGCUCAAAUUUGAAAUCUGGCCCCUCCGGGGUCCGAGUUGUAAUUUGCAGAGGAUGCUUCGGGUGCGGCCCCUGUCUAAGUGCCCUGGAACGGGCCGUCAGAGAGGGUGAGAAUCCCGUCUUGGGCAGGGUGCCCGUGCCCGUGUGAAGCUCCUUCGACGAGUCGAGUUGUUUGGGAAUGCAGCUCUAAAUGGGUGGUAAAUUUCAUCUAAAGCUAAAUACCGGCCGGAGACCGAUAGCGCACAAGUAGAGUGAUCGAAAGAUGAAAAGCACUUUGAAAAGAGAGUUAAACAGCACGUGAAAUUGUUGAAAGGGAAGCGCUUGCGACCAGACUCGGCCUCGGGGUUCAGCCAGCAUUCGUGCUGGUGUACUUCCCCGGGGCCGGCCAGCGUCGGUUCGGGCGCCGGUCAAAGGCCCAGAAUGUAUCGUCCUCCGG